UGAGGAAUAUUGCACAAUGGGCGCAAGCCUGAUGCAGCGACGCCGCGUGUGGGAUGAAGGGGCUACGCCUCGUAAACCACGGUAGCCCGGGACGAAAAACGCCUUAGAGGCGUUAGACGGUACCGGGAAAGUAAGGGUCGGCUAACUACGUGCCAGCAGCCGCGGUAAUACGUAGGAGGCGAGCGUUAUCCGGAUUUACUGGGCGUAAAGCGCACGCAGGCGGCUCUGUUAGUCGGACGUGAAAGCUCGCGGCUUAACCGGGAGAGGCCGUUCGAUACUGCGGGGCUUGAGGUAGGGAGAGGAAUGCGGAAUUCCCGGUGUAGUGGUGGAAUGCGUAGAUAUCGGGAGGAACACCUGUGGCGAAAGCGGCAUUCUGGCCCUCACCUGACGCUGAGGCACGAAAGCGUGGGUAGCAAACA
rnacentral:rRNA from 1 species